rnacentral:rRNA from 1 species
CCUACGGGAGGCAGCAGUGGGGAAUAUUGGGCAAUGGAGGCAACUCUGACCCAGCAACGCCGCGUGAAUGAUGAAGGUCUUCGGAUUGUAAAGUUCUGUGAUGGGGGAUGAACACAAUGACGGUACCCCAAUAGCAAGCCACGGCUAACUACGUGCCAGCAGCCGCGGUAAUACGUAGGUGGCAAGGAUUAUCCGGAAUGACUGGGCGUAAGGGGUGCGUAGGUGGUUUAGUAAGUUGGCGGUGAAAUUCCGGGGCUCAACCUCGGCGCUACCGCCAAAACUAUUAGACGAGAGUGCAGGAGGGGUAAGUGGAAUUCCUAGUGUAGCGGUGGAAUGGGUAGAUAUUAGGAGGAACAUGAGGGGCGAAGGCGACUUACUGGACUGUAACUGACACUGAGGCACGAAAGCGUGGGGAGCAAACAGGAUUAGAUACCCAUGUAUC